rnacentral:misc_RNA from 1 species
CAAAUCUGUUGGCGAUCGACACCUGCAUGCGGCUGCUACCAUCUCGCGAUCUGCACUCUGCUUCCUCGUCUGCCGCGGCCGAAGUGCAUGAGAUGUCAAGGGGUACAAGAAGGAACAUCAUUCGAAGCCAUGAGGAGUAUUUGUCAGAGGAGCUUGUUGUGCAAAGAAGUAAUCACAAAACAUAUGCCCCUUAUCACGUUGAUCCAAGUUCUGAAGAAGACCAAUUAGAUAUGGAAAAUAAUGAUGAGAUUAUUGCCCCAGAUCAUCAUCAACAUGCUGCAGCUUCUGAUUUUGAUCCUACCUCUACUGGGCACCCUUGUGAUAUAGAUGGUGAUGCUGAGCCUAAUAUCGAAGAGGAAACUGUGGGAACAAGACG